rnacentral:rRNA from 1 species
CCUACGGGAGGCAGCAGUGAGGAAUAUUGGUCAAUGGGCUUACGCCUGAACCAGCCAAGUCGCGUGAGGGAAGAAUGCUCUAUGGGUUGUAAACCUCUUUUGUCAGGGAGCAACGCCGGCUACGUGUAGCCGGACUGAGAGUACCUGAAGAAAAAGCAUCGGCUAACUCCGUGCCAGCAGCCGCGGUAAUACGGAGGAUGCGAGCGUUAUCCGGAUUUAUUGGGUUUAAAGGGUGCGUAGGCGGAAUGCCAAGUCAGCGGUAAAAUCGCGGGGCUCAACCUCGCUCCGACGUUGAAACUGGCGGUCUUGAGUGGGCGAGAAGUAUGCGGAAUGCGUGGUGUAGCGGUGAAAUGCAUAGAUAUCACGCAGAACUCAGAUUGCGAAGGCAGCAUACCGGCGCCCAACUGACGCUGAAGCACGAAAGCGUGGGUAUCGAACAGGAUUAGAUACCCUUGUAGUC